AUACGUAGGGGACGAGCGUUGUCCGGAAUUACUGGGCGUAAAGGGCGCGCAGGCGGAUAUUUAAGUCAGCUGUAAAAGGCAUGAGCUCAACUCAUGUAUGCGGUUGAAACUGGGUAUCUAGAGUGCUGGAGAGGUAGGCGGAAUUUCCGGUGUAGCGGUGAAAUGCGUAGAUAUCGGGAAGAACACCAGUGGCGAAGGCGGCUUACUGGCCAGCAACUGACGCUGAGGCGCGAAAGCCAGGGGAGCGAACGGGAUUAGAUACCCCGGUAGUCCUGGCCGUAAACGAUGAAUGCUAGGUGUGGGUGUCGAGAGGCAUCCGUGCCGGAGUUAACGUGAUAAGCAUUCCGCCUGGGGAGUACGAUCGCAAGAUUGAAACUCAAAGGAAUUGACGGGG
rnacentral:rRNA from 1 species